rnacentral:rRNA from 1 species
GAUGAACGCUAGCUACAGGCUUAACACAUGCAAGUCGCGGGGCAGCAUGGGGGUUGCUUGCAAUCCCCGAUGGCGACCGGCGCACGGGUGAGUAACGCGUAUCCAACCUGCCCUUCACCACGGGAUAACCCGGCGAAAGUCGGACUAAUACCGUAUGUUGUCCAUUGACGGCAUCCGAUUUGGACGAAAGGUUUGGCGGUGAAGGAUGGGGAUGCGUCCGAUUGGCUGGACGGCGGGGUGACGGCCCACCGCGGCGACGAUCGGUAGGGGUUAUGAGAGAAAGGUCCCCCACACUGGAACUGAGACACGGUCCAGACUCCUACGGGAGGCAGCAGUGAGGAAUAUUGGUCAAUGGGCGUAAGCCUGAACCAGCCAAGUAGCGUGCAGGAGGACGGCCCUAUGGGUUGUAAACUGCUUUUAUGCGGGGAUAAAGUGGCCCACGUGUGGGUUUUUGCAGGUACCGCAUGAAUAAGGACCGGCUAAUUCCGUG